UCUCAUCCCAAACGGCCUGAUAACCAUUCUGUCAGGCUUCAGUCGAGCAUACCUAAGGAAGAGGCCAACUGACCUAGGACUAUUUGCCAUGUACUAUUGUAUGGAACUGCGGAAAUACAGAGAUGAAAUACAGACCUGUUCACCAAACAAGCUGGUGAAAGAAUUUCAUAAACAUAGAGCCAAGAGACUCUGUGACAAUGCCUAUGAAGAGGAACUGUUGAAGUAUGGAUACAAAGUGACCUCCAAGGAGGAUGUGACUUUUAAUGCCCUGGAGAUCACCUCUCAGGACCUGCAAAUACUAGGCAGUAGUGAGAGACAGAUCAACAGACGGUACUCAA